rnacentral:rRNA from 1 species
UACAGAGGUCUCAAGCGUUGUUCGGAUUCAUUGGGCGUAAAGGGUGCGUAGGCGGCGCGGUAAGUCGGGUGUGAAAUCUCGGAGCUUAACUCCGAAACUGCAUUCGAUACUGCCGUGCUUGAGGACUGGAGAGGAGACUGGAAUUUACGGUGUAGCGGUGAAAUGCGUAGAUAUCGUAAGGAAGACCAGUGGCGAAGGCGGGGUCUCUGGACAGUUCCUGACGCUGAGGCACGAAGGUCAGGGGAGCAAACGGG